UCUUGCGCAAUGGGCGAAAGCCUGACGCAGCCAUGCCGCGUGAAUGAUGAAGGUCUUAGGAUUGUAAAAUUCUUUCACCGGGGACGAUAAUGACGGUACCCGGAGAAGAAGCCCCGGCUAACUUCGUGCCAGCAGCCGCGGUAAUACGAAGGGGGCUAGCGUUGCUCGGAAUUACUGGGCGUAAAGGGCGCGUAGGCGGAUCGUUAAGUCAGAGGUGAAAUCCCAGGGCUCAACCCUGGAACUGCCUUUGAUACUGGCGAUCUUGAGUAUGAGAGAGGUAUGUGGAACUCCGAGUGUAGAGGUGAAAUUCGUAGAUAUUCGGAAGAACACCAGUGGCGAAGGCGACAUACUGCUCAUUACUGACGCGAGGCGGAA
rnacentral:rRNA from 1 species